rnacentral:rRNA from 1 species
UGGGGAAUAUUGGACAAUGGGCGCAAGCCUGAUCCAGCCAUGCCGCGUGGGUGAAGAAGGCCUUCGGGUUGUAAAGCCCUUUUGUCCGGAACGAAAAGGUGUCGGCUAAUACCCGGCACUGCUGACGGUACCGGAAGAAUAAGCACCGGCUAACUUCGUGCCAGCAGCCGCGGUAAUACGAAGGGUGCAAGCGUUACUCGGAAUCACUGGGCGUAAAGCGUGCGUAGGCGGUUUCUUAAGUCUGUCGUGAAAGCCCUGGGCUCAACCUGGGAAUGGCGAUGGAUACUGGGAAGCUAGAGUGUGAUAGAGGAUGGUGGAAUUCCCGGUGUAGCGGUGAAAUGCGUAGAGAUCGGGAGGAACACCAGUGGCGAAGGCGGCCAUCUGGAUCAACACUGACGCUGAGGCACGAAAGCGUGGGGAGCAAACAG